rnacentral:lncRNA from 1 species
UUUUUUUUUUUUUUUUUUUUUGAGUCAGGGUCUUGCUACCAUGUUUCCCUGGAAAUAAGACCCAGCUAGAAAAUAACCAGCCAUGGAAACCGGAGAUCACAGGCAUCCUUGCCAUACCUGCCGCCACCACUCUCUUGCUCAGUGGCUGCUCUGUAGGUUUCCUCCCGAUGGCAGAGAAAGGGACACAGCAAGAACACCUCAGAGCGCCCUGCAAACUGCGGAGUCAACACUGAAACGAUGUCUGCCCUCGGCCACCAGGGUGAGCCUCGUGCUGGGACACUGUGUACCUGUUGCUGCGUUGGGCCUUCUCUGCCCUCCUUCCCUGCCCCUUUCUCCAAGAGCCCAAGUCACCAUCGUGCCUGGCAACGUCCAACGUUUACCUUGACAGACACGUUUACUGACUGCAGAGGACCGUGACACUGGUGACGCCCAAGGCAGGCUGUGAAGAGUGAACCCCACAAUUGGCUUGUUUGAAGCGAGUCCAGCCGAAGACUGUGUGCCGAGGUCAGAGUAACUCGCACCCAAAUUCCGUUCCCACGACUAAAACCUUCUAACUAGAAGGGCAGUAUUCUAAUUACAGCCAUAUAUUCUGCUUAUUCUGCUCCUAAUUGGAGAAUGCUCUUCUGUCUUGGCCUUUAGGAGCCUUGUUUACAUUAAUUUCCACGGGAACUGCACAUAGCUGGCCUUAACCCUAAUUGAUUGCCAAUAAAAGUCAGUGCCUGGGACUUGGGCAGUUGCACGACAUUGGUCAUCCCAGCGCCCUGCUUUCUCUCUCCUACUUCUUCUGUCUCUUACUAUAUUUAUUUCUCAGGCCUGACAAGAAGCCAAAACCUAACUACAGAGGUCUCCGACAACUGAGCACUUAUCACAUGCAGGUCCUUCAUCCUUGUGUUGCUGUACAACACAAAAUUCAAGUGUGCCCAACUUUCUGGCAUUUCCUGUCUCCGCCCAGGCUGACUCCCACUAAACUACUUGCCCCAAGGGUUGCGGCUUAACCGAAUAAUCCAACUUCCGGUGUGAAAAUAAUUUAUAUUUUUCUUUUGACAGCUAUGCUUUCAGUACCCUUCUGUCAGGGCCGGGGUCCAGCUCAGAGAUACAACACUUGCCCAGCAUGUGAAAGACCCUGGGUUUGAUUCCCACACUGAAAAACAAAAAUUUUUCCAUUACACUGCAUGCCUUGGGGAGGUGUGUGUACCUGGUUAUUUCUUCCUUGUUGGCUGCCAAUUUUAUUAGAGGUGUAAUCCCCAAACCGCUAUAAUAACCUACUUGCACUUAAGAAUCCACCUGUCCAUACAUGAAUAUGACCAUAACAUGGAAUCUCUUCACCGCAGACUAAUUUAUGAUUGUCACAAACAAUGACCUGGCUGAACUGCUCUGGGCACUGUGAAAUGCUGCAUGAAAG